rnacentral:rRNA from 1 species
UACAGAGGGGGCAAGCGUUAUUCGGAAUUAUUGGGCGUAAAGGGCGCGUAGGCGGCUUUGCAAGUGACGGGUGAAAUCCCCAGGCUCAACUUGGGAACUGCAUCCGAUACUGGAUGGCUUGAAUCCGGGAGAGGGAUGCAGAAUUCCAGGUGUAGCGGUGAAAUGCGUAGAUAUCUGGAGGAAUACCGGUGGCGAAGGCGGCAUCCUGGACCGGCAUUGACGCUGAUGAGCGAAAGCUAGGGGAGCAAACGGG